UUAGUCAUGAAAGUCAAAGCUUUUUAUAAAUGUAAAUAUGUUUCACUCUUUCAGGUCAGAAAAUGAACCAACUAAAGAUGACAUCAGGGUAAAAAAAAUCCAAAUAUUGGUCAAGCUUUUAAAACAAAGGUCAAAGUGAACAUUUCCUCAAUUUAUGUUUACUUCUCUCGGGUGUGAGUUACUACUUUCUAAAGAAUGAGCCACUGGUACAUAGCUCACACAAAAUACCUCGGCCAGAAGAGAGGCAGCUAUUUGGACCCUGCUCCUUAGAAAGAGUUCAUCCAUGCACGUCUUGGGAAAGCAUGGAAAAGCAGGAUGGAGUAUGCUGUAACAAAGAAAUACUACCAUUCCUUUCUGCCUCACAUAUUUUAGAUUACCAUUUACUGUCAACACUAAAGGAGUAUAGAUGCCUCUGAAACUCUUGGCUAACUUUCACAAGUGCAGAUGCCUCUCAGACCUUUGUUACAUGAAUAAACAAAGAAUGGCAAAC
rnacentral:lncRNA from 1 species